GUAGGUGAACCUGCGGAAGGAUCAUUACAAAUCCAAACAAAUACCCGUUGAAAUGUUCUCGGCCUUGGUUGUUGCGUGCGUCAUGUGUUUAUUUACAUAUAAGCAUGCCGUGUAAAAAUGGAAGUGUUAUCAUUUCCACCCAAGGACCGGUAUUCUAACAACAACGUUACUUAUUAUGGCCAUACUUAAACAGUGUGAAAAAAAAACAACUUUUAACAAUGGAUCUCUAGGCUCUUGCAUCGAUGAAGAA
rnacentral:misc_RNA from 1 species